GCUGGAUAUGAAAGUGGCGCACGGGUGCGUAACGCGUAUGCAACCUACCUUAAUCAGGGGGAUAGCCCGAAGAAAUUCGGAUUAAGACCGCAUAAAAACACAGGAUAGCAUUAUCCAAUGUUCAAAUAUUUAUAGGAUUAAGAUGGGCAUGCGUGUCAUUAGCUAGUUGGCGGGGUAACGGCCCACCAAGGCGACGAUGACUAGGGGAUCUGAGAGGAUGACCCCCCACACUGGUACUGAGACACGGACCAGACUCCUACGGGAGGCAGCAGUAAGGAAUAUUGGUCAAUGGAGGGAACUCUGAACCAGCCAUGCCGCGUGCAGGAAGACGGCCCUCUGGGUUGUAAACUGCUUUUAUUCGGGAAUAAACCUCAUUACGUGUAAUGAGCUGAAUGUACCGAAGGAAUAAGGAUCGGCUAACUCCGUGCCAGCAGCCGCGGUAAUACGGAGGAUCCAAGCGUUAUCCGGAUUUAUUGGGUUUAAAGGGUGCGUAGGCGGCUUAUUAAGUCAGGGGUGAAAGACGGUGGCUCAACCAUCGCAGUGCCCUUGAUACUGAUGAGCUUGAAUACACUAGAGGUAGGCGGAAUGUGACAAGUAGCGGUGAAAUGCAUAGAUAUGUCACAGAACACCGAUUGCGAAGGCAGCUUACUAUGGUGUGAUUGACGCUGAGGCACGAAAGCGUGGGGAUCAAACAGGAUUAGAUACCCUGGUAGUCCACGCCCUAAACGAUGAAUACUCGCUGUUAGCGAUAUACAGUUAGCGGCUAAGCGAAAGCGUUAAGUAUUCCACCUGGGGAGUACGCCCGCAAGGGUGAAACUCAAAGGAAUUGACGGGGGCCCGCACAAGCGGAGGAGCAUGUGGUUUAAUUCGAUGAUACGCGAGGAACCUUACCCGGGCUUGAAAGUUAGUGAAUGAUUUAGAGAUAGAUCAGUGAGCAAUCACACGAAACUAGGUGCUGCAUGGCUGUCGUCAGCUCGUGCCGUGAGGUGUUGGGUUAAGUCCCGCAACGAGCGCAACCCCUAUGUUUAGUUGCCAGCACGUUAAGGUGGGGACUCUAAACAGACUGCCUGUGCAAACAGAGAGGAAGGAGGGGACGACGUCAAGUCAUCAUGGCCCUUACGUCCGGGGCUACACACGUGCUACAAUGGAUGGUACAGAGGGCAGCUAGCUGGUAACAGUAUGCCAAUCUCAAAAAGCCAUUCACAGUUCGGAUAGAGGUCUGCAACUCGACCUCUUGAAGUUGGAUUCGCUAGUAAUCGCGUAUCAGCAAUGACGCGGUGAAUACGUUCCCGGGCCUUGUACACACCGCCCGUCAAGCCAUGGAAGUUGGGGGUAC
rnacentral:rRNA from 1 species